CGCAGUAUUUAUACAGCGAUGCACGCUGCUCUCAUCACUCCGCUCCUGUGCCCACGAGACGCGCAUCGCUUCGUCACUACAGCGCAAAACCAGUGAAAGCAGCGCACGUCUGGAUCGCAUUGAAGGGCGGUGUCCUCCUCAGCCUCACGCGUUCACUGUCUGGCUAAAGCAUCUUCAACACUCGCACACGAGGCGUGUUUUUUCACAUUAAAGGUACAUUUUUGGUAUAUUUGCAGAACCUUCUGCAGAAAUGGCUGACAAACCUGACGUCUCGGAAGUCGCCAACUUCGACAAGACCAAGCUGAAGAAGACCGAAACCCAGGAGAAAAACACCCUGCCUACCAAAGAAACCAUCGACCAGGAGAAGACUUCAUAAUGAAGCGCUGUGCAUUGUACAUUCCACAAGCCUUACUACUCUUCUGUCACUCUGUGUAUUCCAACUGCGGUACUUAAAAACAUGUCUGCCAAGCCGCUCGGCCGAUGACCCUCUGCACAGUGAGGGAGUGUGGCUUGUCGGCAUGGGUUCCUGCUAAUCUGUUGCUGUGGAUGCAUCUUCACGUGUGGUGUUUGGGGGACGUGUCAUGGAACACCUGUGGUGGUGGGGGGACGACUUGCCCAAUCAUUUGUAAACCGUCUGGCCACUGUGUGCAUGCUCUCAUGGCGAGCAGUGUCUUUUUGUAAGAAUCUGGAAUGCACAAGCUUGUUAAAUACGCAGAAUAAAAAUGUAUACUGACUUUGUGUCCUUGUGGUUUUACACGGAUUGUCAUAAAUCCACCCUGGGCUCUCCGACACAUUUGGCUAGUUUUUUACUUUUAUUUUUUUAACCCCUCUCAAGCAUGCUUUGCUCUCUUUUAGUUUCCAUCACAGCAGCUGCUGAUUGUGCACUUAGGCACAUCCUUCAAAAGUAAAGGGUGAAGGGAAAAGUUUUAUUUUGAAAAGGUUGCAAUUCUGUAGCUACUCCAGAAGGAAAUGCUCAUGUGAGCUUUCUUGUGUUCUGAAACUAACCAAAUGCUGGCUGUGCUGUGCAGACAUCUUUGUCUCUGGCUGAAGAGAACCUUCUUUGCACACUGACUGGACGAUUUGACCGCCUGCACAACUUAUUUGAUAAGAACAAAUCUGUCCACUUGUGCUGCAUCAGUAAUGGCGUUCUUUGAGUAAACAGACGCCUCUGACCUCAUUGACUGGAAACCACAGCUCUGUAGAGGCGAUCGCCAAAUCUGUUAACAGAGAACCUGUUCUAGCUUGUGUGGCACAGACCAUUUCCUGUGGGGAGGGAAAUUAAAGAACUGACUAUAACCUCUCCGCUGUAAUAAGGUCUGCAGAGGGAUUGGAACAAGUUCAAUUUCAUCCUCGAGAGGCUGCAUUUUUAGUGUGGGAAAAGUGACAUGUCUGUUUUUCCGUAGUCCUUAAGGAGCACCAAAACAAUCCAUCACAUCUGUGUUGCCAGCUGCCCCCCUCCCUCUCAUUUGCAAUCUUGCCACACAACAGCUCCUCAGUGUCCUAUAACAAUGUGUUCCUUCGGAAAAACACUAUUACACAUUACGACACUGCCUUCUCCUGUUACUCUCCCCUCACUUUAAACUAAGUGAUGUGUGUGUGUGUGCCGCCGCAGCCAAUUUUCUCCUGGCAACCGCCAUUUAUGCUGCAUCAUGCACAUGGACGCUCUUAUGUGGAACUGCCCCAAGACCUGAUAACGGCCUGUGGAAAGGGACGCAAAUGACACCAAGGGCCGAUUGGGGAUGAACUUUGCUCGAUGCACCAAGAGGCCACUUGCCGGUGUUGUGACGGGCGCCUCUGAACCGGCUGUGGUGGAGACUGACCGCAACCUACCAAACACCACACAGACGCCUAGACAGCGUAUAACCAUACAUAUACAUAAUGUGCUUUUAGAAUGAAACCGCCCUGACUGGCUCGGAAUAAAAGCUUGAGUGUAAAAUCGGUCAGUAACUGUAAAGAGAUGAUUAUUGAUGAUGAUGAUGAUGAUCAUUCCUCAUUACUCUUCUCGCGCAUGCUCACUCAUGACUCACUCGCUGUCAUCUUUUGACAUGACAGUCAUGACAUCAGCUGGUCUUAUCAGCUGGUCGGCUUUAAUCUGAUAGCACAGUGACACGAUUCCGCGGUUAGCCUAUCUUCACACUAACGUCUGCUUUUAAAAAGAAUGGUCUGGUACCUUGAGUCAUGUCCCUUCCGCUUCCCUAUUCCCAUCAAGUCUCUUGCAGAUUCAUCGUUUCAUCGUUCUAUCCGUCUCAUCAGCCACCGCGGCUGGAGUCCAGUUUAUUCCGAGGGCAGAAACUCCUCGGGUACGGAUCAAUCAAAGAAAAUACUCUGUGAAAGCUUUAUCAUUACAGACCAGCCGUCAAUAUUAAACCAUCCUUUCAUCUAUCUGACUUGUCUCCCCUGGUCAACUCACCGGGUCUUUGCCGCAUAACGGAGGAUGGCACAGCAUAAACAACAGUGAAAUGGAAAUGUGGUGAAGAAUACAAAACAGCAAACAAUGCCGUACUAUGAAUUACAGUAAUUAGUCGGGAUGCUGCGAUCUUAUUGGCUAUGAAACGUAGCAUGAGGAAGGCUUAAUGGCAACGGGCUGAUUGUGGCCAUGUUUGAGUUGAGACGGUUUGUACAGGAUGUGAAUAAUCUUGCCGUCCGUGAUGAGUUGCGGUGCAGCAAUGAGUCACGAUGUGAGAAGAAGGAAUGAUCAAGACCUCUUUUCUCACACUUCAAUUUUUUUAUUCUAAAUGUAUAACAUGAGAUUCUGCUGAUGCCAAUAAACUGACUUCCAAGUG
ensembl:lncRNA